UAAAAAUUUAUUAAUUUUUUUUUUUUCAUGUAAAUUUUUGUGUGAAUUUUAAUUAAAUUUUAAAAAUUUAAUUAAGAUAUAAUUUUAUUUGCAGUAUUUAAUUUUAUUAAUUUAAGUAAUUAAGAAAUAUAAAUAAAUUUUAUUAUGGACAGAUUUUGUGCCAGCAGUUGCGGUUAUACAAAAUAUAUAAAUAAAUUUUAUUAGUAAGUAAUUAUAUGAUUUUAUAAUAAAUAAAUUUUUUAUUUUUUAAGUGAAAUUUUAAAUAAAAUUUAAAUUUUUAUAUUUAAUUUUAUUAUUAUGAAAUUUAAUAUUAAACUAGGAUUAGAUACCCUAUUAUUUUAAAUGUAAAAAAAAAUACUUAAGUAGUAAUAGUUAUGAUCUUCAAAUUUAAAGAUUUUGGCGGUAUUUUAGUCUAUUCAGAGGAACUUGUUCUAUAAUUGAUAUUCCACGAUAUACUUUACUUAAUUUAAAAAUUUGUAUAUCAUUGUUUAUAUAAAAUUUUAUAAGAAAAUUAAUUUUUAAUAUUUUUUAUUAAAAUAAAUUUCAAAUCAAGGUGCAGUUUAUAGUUAAGUAGAAAUGAGUUACAUUAAAAUUAUUUAUAUGGAUAUAAAUAAGAAUUUAUUUAUUGAAGGUGGAUUUGAUAGUAAUUAAAUUAAAUUAAAUUUUUUGAUUUAAGCUCUAAAAUAUGUACAUAUCGCCCGUCGCUCUUAUAUAAAAUAAGAUAAGUCGUAACAUAGUAGAUGUACUGGAAAGUGUAUCUAGAAUGAU
rnacentral:ncRNA from 1 species